GCUACAUUUCAUCCAAGCUUUAUAUCAGAUAUAACUCACUCUUUAAACGUAUACAAUGUCUUUAUAUCUCAAUACUGAUGUCAGGUUGAAAGAGGGAAAUGGACAUGAAAUGUAACACUUAGUUUCACAGCAGUUCGAGAUCCAUCGAUAUGGCAGGAUAACAAAGAGUGGACAGUCAUCUGAUUUAACAGUCAAAUUAAAUCCCCACAGGAGCCAUUUUAGUUUCCUGUCUGCAAUAAACCCUGAUCUGAUCCUGGUGAGCUGGCCUGCUCACAGGGUGCCUGUCUUUAGGCAAGUUUGCUGCUGCGAAAUUCCACUGAUGCGCCUGGAGAGAAAAAAAUAGGGGCAAGAUGUGGAUCUUCAUGUUGCUCUUCGUGCUGACCUUAAACAUCUGUCAGACUGCUGCAACAGAGAACUCAACGCAGAUGUAUUACGUCACACUGAUAAUAGACAGAAGUGCAAUUAAGAGACUCAAUGAGAAUCUAAACUUUGCAGUGAACGACAGAAACGUGAGCAUCGAGGACAUUAGGAUGA